ACUAGUUUACUAGAAUAUAAUAAAAUUUCCUUUUGCAUUAGGAUUACCCUAAAAUAAGAAAAUCUUCUUUAAAAGAAAAAUAGUGACCUAAAAUAUUAAAAUAAGUACAUUAUAUGGACUUAAAAAUAUAUAUUUCUGUAAUAGGCAUUAAACUAUUUGAUAUCUUUUUACCUUACCAUUUAAGGACAAUCUUAAAUUAACUCCUAAAUUUGACUAAAAUAUAGGACUAGUAGUAUCUUGUAUGUUUUUUAUAGAAAAAUUUUUUCCUACUCAAAUUAUUUUAAUCCAGUCUAAGUAAACAUACUUAGAUUACUGAUGGUUUGCGUGAGUAAAUGUUAACAUAAUUUUCUAUUUAAAACUUGACAUAUUUUAUUCUACUGUUUAUUAAAAACAUUACAAUAAUUUAUUUAUUGCAACUUCCUGCCCAAUGAUAAAUUUUAAUGGCCGCAGUAACCUGACUGUGCUAAGGUAGCAUAAUCACUUGUUUAAUAAAUUUAAACUAGAAUGAAAGGAAAAAAGUAAUAUUAGUUGUUAAUUAAAAAUUUUAUUUAAAUCAUCUCUAAAGUGCAAAUACUUUAAAUAGCCUCAUAAACGAGAAGACCCUGGAAAUUUACAUUAUUUUAUUGGGAUAAUUCAAUUAAAUAAAUCUGGUAAUCAAAUCCAUUGAAUAAGAAAAAUUACUCCAGGGAUAACAGCAUAAUAGUUGCUAAGAGACCUAAUCUAUGCAACCAAUUGUGACCUCGAUGUUGAAUCAUUAUAUAAUAAAAUCCGCAAAAGGAUUUUAUUCUCGUCUGUUCGACGAAACAUUAUUACGUGAUUUGAGUUUAGACCGUUGAAAAACAGGUCGGAUUCUCUUUUGAGGACUACAAAAAAAUCAAAUUUAGUACGAAAGGAAUAAUUUGUUAAAUAUUAAAAUUUUUAAUGAACAAAUUAUUAUUCUUAUCCCUAUGUUUCUUCUCCGCAGCAUUUAUAUUUUAUUUCAUCGUUAU
rnacentral:rRNA from 1 species